AGAAUCAACGCUGGCGGCGUGCCUAACACAUGCAAGUCGAACGAGAAAGGGGAGCAAUCCCUGAGUACAGUGGCGACCGGGUGAGUAACACGUGACUAACCUACCCUCGAGUGUGGAAUAACAUCGGGAAACCGAUGCUAAUACCGCAUAAUAUCGCAAGAUCAAAGGAGUAAUCCGCUUGAGGAGGGGGUCGCGGCUGAUUAGCUAGUUGGCGGGUAAUGGCCCACCAAGGCGAAGAUCGGUAUCCGGCCUGAGAGGGUGCACGGACACACUGGAACUGAAACACGGUCCAGACUCCUACGGGAGGCAGCAGUGGGGAAUUUUGCGCAAUGGGGGAAACCCUGACGCAGCAACGCCGCGUGGAGGAUGAAGCCCCUUGGGGCGUAAAACUCCUUUCGACCAAGACGAUAAUGACGGUACUGGUGGAAGAAGCACCGGCUAACUCUGUGCCAGCAGCCGC
rnacentral:rRNA from 1 species